CUAUUCUUCAACGAUCCAUUCCCAACGGAUAGAAGUCGCUUACAGGGAUGCCCAAAUGAAGAUGGGAAUCAAGGAGUAGGAACAAGCUGAAGUGUUGCUAUUCUAAGAUGUUAGAAUAUUACAAGUUGUAAAUUUCUGCAUUUCCGCUGCUGUAAUAACUCUAUUAUAAUGAAAUAAAAGUUUAAGAUAUGAAGUUUCUUUC